GGAGAGGUAGCUCAGUUGGUAAAGUGCUUGCCUCACAUGCAUAAGGCCCUGGGUUCAAUCCCCAGCUCCA
rnacentral:tRNA from 1 species